GGAGAGGUGGCCGAGCGGUCGAAGGCGCACGCCUGGAAAGUGUGUAUACGUUAUACGUAUCGAGGGUUCAAAUCCCUCCCUCUCCGCCA
rnacentral:tRNA from 1 species